rnacentral:rRNA from 1 species
UACGAAGGGGGCUAGCGUUGUUCGGAAUCACUGGGCGUAAAGGGCGCGUAGGCGGCCGAUCAAGUCGGGGGUGAAAGCCUGUGGCUCAACCACAGAAUUGCCUUCGAUACUGAAGAGCUUGAGUCCGGGAGAGGUGAGUGGAACUGCGAGUGUAGAGGUGAAAUUCGUAGAUAUUCGCAAGAACACCAGUGGCGAAGGCGGCUCACUGGCCCGGUACUGACGCUGAGGUGGCGAAAAGCGUGGGGAGCAAACAGG